GCCGGGAUGGGGAAAUUGGUAAACCCAUUACCUUGAGGUGGUAACGCUGUAAAAAGCUUGCAGGUUCGAGUCCUGUUCCCGGCACUA
rnacentral:tRNA from 2 species